ACAUGAGGCCCCAGGAGUUUCCGGGAACAGGAGGUCUGGUGGAUAACCGAAGCUGGAUGGAAGUGCCAACAUAAAGCGUGCAGCGGAGUAGGACAACUGGAAUCAGCUAUGGCAACAGCAGGAUCCUCUUCCAGGUCAUAUGUUGAAAAAAGCAAAUUUCAAGGUUGGCCAGAUGUGACUUGCAAGUUGGAACAUCAAUUUGAGGCUGCCAUCCUGUGAAUCUGGUCCAAAGUAUAUUGACUCUUGCACAGUUUUUAGGCGAGUAAUGCCCGUUACUUAUUGACUGGCAUUAUUAUUUUCAAACCAUGAUAUUCAUUUCACGUUUCAUAACUGAAAUCAGUCCAUGUGUAUUGAUUUCCUAUUUCCUUUCCUCUGGAGGCUGAUGGUCAUCCUGAAUUUGAGAUUUACAAUAUAUUUGAUUCCAAGAAGUAUAGUUUAGGAGACGACUACCUGAUGGAUUAAUAGGAUUAUGGUCCACAGGACUGCUUCUGAGUUUAUGAAAGAGAUAUGCACGUCUCAUGUCCUCUGGCCCAGUUCCAUUAGUGUUUUUCUACCAAGCCAGAUGACUGUAUAUGGACACCUUUUAAUACUUGCAUUUUGGUUAAUUUUAUUUUUUUUUUUUAACCAUGUAGAAUUUGAUUUUGCGGUUGUUUUUGUAAUUUUUAUGGAAUUUGACAAAGUUUUACUUUAUUCCUGGUCCAUUUCUUUUUUUUGUGCGAGGCUGUAAGAUGUGUCACCUGAUUACAUCAUGGGAUGUGACAAUAUACAGAAAUAUGCUGGUGUCCACAUUACACAUUAUUCCUCAGUAGAUAAAGCUUACUGAAGACCAAUUCUAGCUUAGUUAGCUUCUUUUACAAGUUGGUUUAGUUUUUGAUCUCUUAUUUGACUUUCAUUUCCGAUUUUCAAUUUGUCCUUGUGUUUAGGUUGCCUGACUGGUAGUCUUUAAUGGCUCUGACUUGGCAUUCCCUUUUGACUAGAAUUCUUGCUUCACGUUAUCAUCUCCUGGUUAUUUUUUUUGCUUAUAAUAAUCCUUCAACACCAGCAUGUCCUAACAGGUAGCAUCAACAUCAGGGAUAAAACAAUGGUUAGAAUUACAGUGAGUUCUCUUGGAAAGUACUAAAGCCUGCAUUUUAUCAUUAAACAUUAUAUAUUGAAA